CCCCCCUCCCCCUCAGCGUGUUAAGGUGUCCUCAUAUCAGGCCCUGCUCGUCUCUCUCCCCCCCCCCCCCCCUCAGCGUGUUAAGGUGUCCUCAUAUCAGGCCCUGCUCGUCUCUCUCCCCCCUCCCCCUCAGCGUGUUAAGGUGUCCUCAUAUCAGGCCCUGCUCGUCUCUCUCCCCCUCCCCCCUCAGCGUGUUAAGGUGUCCUCAUAUCAGGCCCUGCUCGUCUCUCUCCCCCCACCAUCCUCCCAUUGAAUCAAACGGCUACACGUGUGUGUGUGUGUGUGUGUGUGGGCAUUUGUGUGUGCGUGUACAUGUUAGCGCUUGUGUGCGUGUCUGUGUGUGUGUGUGUGUGUGUUAAUGUGUGUGUACAUGUG
ensembl:lncRNA